UUGCGCAAUGGGUGGCAACCCUGACGCAGCAAUGCCGCGUGAGUGAAGAAGGCCUUCGGGUCGUAAAGCUCUUUUAUGGGGGAAGAUGAUGACGGUACCCCAUGAAUAAGCACCGGCUAACUACGUGCCAGCAGCCGCGGUAAUACGUAGGGUGCGAGCGUUGUUCGGAAUUACUGGGCGUAAAGGGCGUGCAGGCGGAUUGGCAAGCCGGAGGUGAAAGCCCGGGGCUCAACCCCGGAGGGUCUUUCGGAACUGCCAGUCUUGAGAGGGUCAGGGGCCAGCGGAAUUCCUGGUGUAGAGGUGAAAUUCGUAGAGAUCAGGAGGAACACCGGCGGCGAAAGCGGCUGGCUGGGGCCACUCUGACGCUGAGGCGCGAAAGCGUGGGGAGCAAACAGGAUUAGAUACCCUGGUAGUCCACGCCGUAAACGAUGGGCACUAAGCGUCCGACGGGUUCGACCCUGUUGGGUGCUGCAGUUAACGCGUUAAGUGCCCCGCCUGGGGAGUACGGUCGCAAGACUA
rnacentral:rRNA from 1 species